ACGGAGGGUGCAAGCGUUACUCGGAAUCACUGGGCGUAAAGGGUGCGUGGGCUGGCUUCUAAGUCAGAUGUGAAAUCCAAUGGCUUAACCAUUGAACUGCAUUUGAAACUGGGAGCCUAGAGUUCAGAAGGGGCAGAUGGAAUUAGUGGUGUAGGGGUAAAAUCCGUAGAUAUCACGAGGAAUAUCAAAAGCGAAGGCGAUCUGCUGGGAUGAUACUGACGCUGAGGCACGAAAGCGUGGGGAGCAAACAG
rnacentral:rRNA from 1 species